rnacentral:ncRNA from 1 species
CUGUUUCACAGGCAAACUACAUCGAAAGAUUAGGGCGCAAAGCCAUGGGUCUAAAGCGCUUAAGCUGGUUAAUGGUUAAUGGUGCUAUGAUUGCCAGGUUGCGGGA